rnacentral:tRNA from 1 species
CGCCUGCCUUGCAAGCAGGAGGCCGCGGGUUCGAGUCCCGCAGGGCCCACCA